AUAAUCUGCCCUUCGGCGGGGAUAACAGUCCGAAAGGAUUGCUAAUACCGCAUACGUCAGGGAGGACUCCGGUCUUUCCUGGGAAAGGGGCGCCCACAAGGGGCUCUCACCGGAGGAGGAGUCCGCGGCCCAUCAGCUAGUUGGCGGUGUAAUGGACCACCAAGGCUUAGACGGGUAGCUGGUCUGAGAGGAUGAUCAGCCACACUGGGACUGAGACACGGCCCAG
rnacentral:rRNA from 1 species